rnacentral:rRNA from 1 species
UGGGGAAUAUUGCACAAUGGGCGCAAGCCUGAUGCAGCCAUGCCGCGUGUAUGAAGAAGGCCUUCGGGUUGUAAAGUACUUUCAGCGAGGAGGAAGGUGUUGUGGUUAAUAACCGCAGCAAUUGACGUUACUCGCAGAAGAAGCACCGGCUAACUCCGUGCCAGCAGCCGCGGUAAUACGGAGGGUGCAAGCGUUAAUCGGAAUUACUGGGCGUAAAGCGCACGCAGCGUCGUGUCAAGUCGGAUGUGAAAUCCCCGGGCUCAACCUGGGAACUGCAUCCGAAACUGGCAGGCUAGAGUCUUGUAGAGGGGGGUAGAAUUCCAGGUGUAGCGGUGAAAUGCGUAGAGAUCUGGAGGAAUACCGGUGGCGAAGGCGGCCCCCUGGACAAAGACUGACGCUCAGGUGCGAAAGCGUGGGGAGCAAACA